GUUAUCUUAUUUCAUCCUUCCAUGUGGGUUUUACCGUCCCCUUGAACAAGGAGAAAACUAAGGCUGAGAACAUUGAAGUAGCACGAUCAUGGCAGAGGCAUCUUCAAGGUCAGCUGGAAGAAGAAGAAUCUGGUUAGUCUGGCGGUUUCUGUUCUUUAAUUCUCACAUUAGGCCUGAAUUCAGACUAAAGCCUUGAUGGUCCAGCCCUCGACUCUCCUUCAAAAUUGAAGGAAGAAAUGAUGUGGAGUCCGGCGUGCCUCCCCGACCCUGUUCCUCU
rnacentral:lncRNA from 10 species